rnacentral:rRNA from 1 species
GCACAAGCGGUGGAUGAUGUGGUUUAAUUCGAUGCAACGCGAAAAACCUUACCUACCCUUGACAUGUCUGGAAUUCCGAAGAGAUUUGGAAGUGCUCGAAAGAGAGCCAGAACACAGGUGCUGCAUGGCCGUCGUCAGCUCGUGUCGUGAGAUGUUGGGUUAAGUCCCGCAACGAGCGCAACCCUUGUCAUUAGUUGCUACGAAAGGGCACUCUAAUGAGACUGCCGGUGACAAACCGGAGGAAGGUGGGGAUGACGUCAGGUCAUCAUGGCCCUUAUGGGUAGGGCUACACACGUCAUACAAUGGCUGGGACAGAGGGCUGCCAACCCGCGAGGGGGAGCUAAUCCCAGAAACCCGGUCGUAGUCCGGAUCGUAGUCUGCAACUCGACUGCGUGAAGUCGGAAUCGCUAGUAAUCGCGGAUCAGCUUGCCGCGGUGAAUACGUUCCCAAUCUGAAUUCGUCG